CCUACGGGCGGCAGCAGUGGGGAAUAUUGGACAAUGGGGGCAACCCUGAUCCAGCCAUGCCGCGUGUGUGAAGAAGGCCCUCGGGUUGUAAAGCACUUUCAGUGAGGAAGAACGCCUGGUGGUUAAUACCCAUCAGGAAAGACAUCACUCACAGAAGAAGCACCGGCUAACUCCGUGCCAGCAGCCGCGGUAAUACGGAGGGUGCGAGCGUUAAUCGGAAUUACUGGGCGUAAAGCGCGCGUAGGUGGCUUGAUAAGCCGGUUGUGAAAGCCCCGGGCUCAACCUGGGAACGGCAUCCGGAACUGUCAAGCUAGAGUGCAGGAGAGGAAGGUAGAAUUCCCGGUGUAGUGGUGAAAUGCGUAGAGAUCGGGAGGAAUACCAGUGGCGAAGGCGGCCUUCUGGACUGACACUGACACUGAGGUGCGAAAGCGUGGGUAGCAAACAGGAUUAGAUACCCCUGUAGUC
rnacentral:rRNA from 1 species